rnacentral:rRNA from 1 species
AUGAUGCACACAAGCUACGAGCAAGGUCAUGGACCUCGACCUCGCCCUGCGAGAGGCCUGUCGGCUGACGACGUGACAGACCCGUCGGUCGACAUCCCGUGCGACGUCGAGUCCAAGCCGGAACCCCAACACCCGCCGCCUGACGUCAUCGAGGAGCCCAAGCCACCGCCUGCCGUACACCCACCUGCCGAAGAGCCACUGGCUAAGGAGCCACCACCCACCGAGGAGCCUCCGGCGCCGGUCGACCCGCCUGUGGAACCGCCACCCAUGAAGGACCCACCAUCGAUUGAGGAGCCCAGGCCUGCUGCUGAACCACCUGCCAAGGAUCCGCCGGCGCCGGUUGAGGAGCCACUUCACGUGGAACCGCCUCCAGUGCUGGAGCCACAUCCCGUGGACCCAACACCUGUCCAGGAGCCACCUAGUGCACCACCAGCAGAGGCGAAGCCAUCCGAGGGCAGCGACGAAUCGAGCAGUAGCGCUGGCGAGGACAACGCCGAGGGGGGCCGCCGCAAGGGCAAGCAACGUCGUGGCAGGAGAGGACGACGGAGGCGCACGCAGCGUGCGAGGUUCCCGUUGGGCAUGUUGGUUGCUCCUGCCGUGAUCCUGCUCGCUGUCGCAGUGGCCGUGGCCAAGAGACGGCAGCAGCAGCGCGGUGGUUGA